AUUGAACGCUGGCGGCAUGCCUUACACAUGCAAGUCGAACGGUAACAGGUCUUCGGAUGCUGACGAGUGGCGAACGGGUGAGUAAUACAUCGGAACGUGCCCGAUCGUGGGGGAUAACGAAGCGAAAGCUUUGCUAAUACCGCAUACGAUCUACGGAUGAAAGCAGGCGACCGCAAGGCCUUGCGCGAACGGAGCGGCCGAUGGCAGAUUAGGUAGUUGGUGGGAUAAAAGCUUACCAAGCCGACGAUCUGUAGCUGGUCUGAGAGGACGACCAGCCACACUGGGACUGAGACACGGCCCAGACUCCUACGGGAGGCAGCAGUGGGGAAUUUUGGACAAUGGGCGAAAGCCUGAUCCAGCCAUGCCGCGUGCAGGAUGAAGGCCUUCGGGUUGUAAACUGCUUUUGUACGGAACGAAAAGACUCUGGUUAAUACCUGGGGUCCAUGACGGUACCGUAAGAAUAAGCACCGGCUAACUACGUG
rnacentral:rRNA from 1 species